rnacentral:rRNA from 1 species
UACGGAGGGUGCUAACGUUGCUCGGACUUACUGGGCGUAAAGGGAGCGUAGGCUGUCUAUCAAGUCAGAUGUGAAAUCCCAGGGCUCAACCCUGGAAUUGCAUUUGAUACUGAUAGGCUAGAGUGCAUUAGAGGAGAGUAGAAUUCCUGGUGUAGCAGUGAAAUGCGUUGAGAUCAGGAGGAAUACCAGUGGCGAAGGCGACUCUCUGGGAUGCAACUGACGCUGAGGCUCGAAAGCGUGGGGAUCAAACAGG